rnacentral:rRNA from 1 species
GACCACAGGGAUUGCCCUAGUAACGGCGAGUGAAGCGGCAACAGCUCAAAUUUGAAAUCUGGCUCUUUUAGGGUCCGAGUUGUAAUUUGCAGAGGGCGCUUUGGCGUUGGCAGCGGUCCAAGUUCCUUGGAACAGGACGUCACAGAGGGUGAGAAUCCCGUACGUGGUCGCUAACCUUCGCCGUGUAAAGCCCCUUCGACGAGUCGAGUUGUUUGGGAAUGCAGCUCUAAAUGGGAGGUAAAUUUCUUCUAAAGCUAAAUACUGGCCAGAGACCGAUAGCGCACAAGUAGAGUGAUCGAAAGAUGAAAAGCACUUUGGAAAGAGAGUCAAAUAGCACGUGAAAUUGUUAAAAGGGAAGCGCUUGCAGCCAGACUUGCCUGUAGUUGCUCAUCCGGACUUUUGUCCGGUGCACUCUUCUAUAGGCAGGCCAGCAUCAGUUUGGGCGGUUAGAUAAAGGUCUCUGUCAUGUACCUCCUUUCGGGGAGGCCUUAUAGGGGAGACGACAUGUAACCAGCCUGGACUGAGGUCCGCGCAUUUAUGCUAGGAUGCUGGCGUAAUGGCUGUAAGCGGCCCGUCUUGAAACACGGACCAAGGAGUCUAACAUCUAUGCGAGUGUUUGGGUGUCAAGCCCGAACGCGUAAUGAAAGUGAACGGAGGUGGGAACCCUUUAGGGUGCACCAUCGACCGAUCCUGAUGUCUUCGGAUGGAUUUGAGUAAGAGCAUGGCUGUUGGGACCCGAAAGAUGGUGAACUAUGCUUGAAUAGGGUGAAGCCAGAGGAAACUCUGGUGGAGGCUCGCAGCGGUUCUGACGUGCAAAUCGAUCGUCAAAUUUGGGCAUAGGGGCGAAAGACUAAUCGAAC